rnacentral:rRNA from 1 species
GACAGAGGGUGCAAACGUUGUUCGGAAUUACUGGGCGUAAAGCGCGUGUAGGCGGCUCGGAAAGUCGGAUGUGAAAGCCCUGGGCUUAACCUAGGAAGUGCAUUCGAAACUCCCGAGCUUGAGUUCUGGAGAGGAAGGCGGAAUUCUCGGUGUAGAGGUGAAAUUCGUAGAUAUCGAGAGGAACACCGGUGGCGAAGGCGGGUAGCUGGGCCGACACUGACGCUGAGGCGCGAAAGCUAGGGGAGCGAACGGG